rnacentral:rRNA from 1 species
AUUGCACCGGAGGUAGAGCACUGGAUGGGCUAGGGGUCUUACCGGACUACCAAACCCAACCAAACUCCGAAUGCCGGUGACAACUAUCCGGGAGACAGGCUGCGGGAGAUAAGUUUCGUAGCCGAGAGGGAAAGAGCCCAGAUCGUCAGCUAAGGUCCCAAAGUUCGUGCUCAGUGUUAAAGGAUGUGAUCGCGCAUUGACAGCCAGGAGGUUGGCUUAGAAGCAGCCACCCUUUAAAGAGUGCGUAAUAGCUCACUGGUCAACGCGAGAUCGCGCCGAAAAUAUAACGGGGCUCAAGCACGACACCGAAGCUACGGGAAUGGCAACAUUCGGUAGGGGAGCAUUCUGUUGGAGAUACAUGGUGUACCGUAAGGAGCACUUUAGGCCAACAGAAGAGCUUAUGCACGCAUGAGUAGCGAUAAACCGAGUUAAAAACUCGGUCGCCGUAAGCCCAAGGUUUCCCGGGAAGGAUAAACCUCCCGAGGGUUAGUCGGAACCUAAGUAGAGGCCGAAAGGCGUAUGUGAUGGCAAG